rnacentral:rRNA from 1 species
ACGAACGCUGGCGGCGUGCUUAACACAUGCACGUCGCACGGAAAGGCCUCUUUCGGGGGGUACUCGAGUGGCGAACGGGUGAGUAACACGUGAGUAACCUGCCCUUGACUUUGGGAUAACUUCAGGAAACUGGGGCUAAUACCGGAUAGGAGCUCCUGCUGCAUGGUGGGGGUUGGAAAGUUUCGGCGGUUGGGGAUGGACUCGCGGCUUAUCAGCUUGUUGGUGGGGUAGUGGCUUACCAAGGCUUUGACGGGUAGCCGGCCUGAGAGGGUGACCGGCCACAUUGGGACUGAGAUACGGCCCAGACUCCUACGGGAGGCAGCAGUGGGGAAUAUUGCACAAUGGGUGGAAGCCCGAUGCAGCAACGCCGUGUGCGGGAUGACGGCCUUCGGGUUGUAAACCGCUUUCGCUCAUGACGAAGCUUUGUGUGACGGUAGUGGGUAAAGAAGCACCGGCUAACUACGUG